UACGGGGGGGGCAAGCGUUGUUCGGAAUUACUGGGCGUAAAGGGCUCGUAGGCGGCCAACUAAGUCAUACGUGAAAUCCCUCGGCUUAACCGGGGAACUGCGUCUGAUACUGGAUGGCUUGAGUUCGGGAGAGGGAUGCGGAAUUCCAGGUGUAGCGGUGAAAUGCGUAGAUAUCUGGAGGAACACCGGUGGCGAAGGCGGCAUCCUGGGCCGAUACUGACGCUGAGGAGCGAAAGCCAGGGGAGCAAACGGG
rnacentral:rRNA from 1 species